rnacentral:tRNA from 1 species
UAAUUUUUGAUGACUGAUUAAAGUGGUAGAUUUUUAAUCUAUUUAUGAGUUUUUCUCUC